CUGCUCAGUAACACGUGGAUAAUCUGCCCUCAGGUGAGGAAUAAUCCCGGGAAACUGGGGCUAAUGCCUCAUAGGAGACAGGUGCUGGAAUGCUCUGUCUCUGAAAGGCCCGCCGCCUGAGGAUGAGUCUGCGUCCGAUUAGGUAGUUGUUGGGGUAACGGCCCAACAAGCCUUUGAUCGGUACGGGUUGUGGGAGCAAGAGCCCGGAGAUGGAUUCUGAGACAUGAAUCCAGGCCCUACGGGGCGCAGCAGGCGCGAAAACUUUACAAUGCGAGCAAUCGUGAUAAGGAAACCCUGAGUGCCUGUCAAUGCAGGCUGUUCUGGUGUCUAACACACACCAGGAGAAAGGGCGGGGCAAGACCGGUGCCAGCCGCCGCGGUAAUACCGGCUGCUCGAGUGAUAGCCACUUUUACUGGGCUUAAAGCGUUCGUAGCUUGGUCGUUAAGUCUCUGGGGAAAUCUUUUGGCUCAACCAAAAGGCGUCUCAGGGAAACUGGCGAUCUUGGAACCGGGAGAGGUAAGACGUACUUCGGGGGUAGGAGUGAAAUCUUGUAAUCCCCGAGGGACGACCGAUGGCGAAGGCAUCUUACCAGAACGGCUUCGACAGUGAGGGACGAAAGCUGGGGGAGCAAACCGGAUUAGAUACCCGGGUAGUCCCAGCCGUAAACGAUGUGCGUUAGGUGUGUCAGUGACCACGAGUCGCUGAGGUGCCGAAGGGAAACCGUGAAACGCACCGCCUGGGAAGUACGGUCGCAAGGCUGAAACUUAG
rnacentral:rRNA from 1 species